rfam:Schistosoma rodhaini strain Burundi genome assembly, scaffold: SROB_scaffold0002377
GCACUGCUGAGGAGUCCCAUAAUAGGACGAAACGGCCGCCCAGUGC